CCUUCGAUAGCUCAGUUGGUAGAGCGGUGGACUGUAGAGAUAUCGAGAGAAGAGUUAUCCAUAGGUCACUGGUUCAAAUCCGGUUCGAAGGA
rnacentral:tRNA from 1 species